UACAGAGGGUGCAAGCGUUGUUCGGAAUUAUUGGGCGUAAAGGGCGCGUAGGCGGUUCGGCAAGUCUCUAGUGAAAUCUCUGGGCUCAACUCAGAGUCUGCUGGGGAAACUGCCGGGCUUGAGUGUGGGAGAGGAGAGUGGAAUUCCCGGUGUAGCGGUGAAAUGCGUAGAUAUCGGGGAGGAACACCUGUGGCGAAGGCGGAUCUCUGGGCCAUUACUGACGCUGAGGAGCGAAAGCGUGGGGAGCGAACAGG
rnacentral:rRNA from 1 species